GACGAACGCUGGCGGCGUGCUUAACACAUGCAAGUCGAACGGGUCUGCCCUGUUUUUUGCGGGGUGGGUCAGUGGCGAACGGGUGAGUAACACGUGAGUAACCUGCCCCUCACUUCUGGAUAACCGCUUGAAAGGGUGGCUAAUACGGGGUGUUCUGGCUGUGCCGCAUGGUGUGGCUGGGAAAGAUUCACUUUUGUGGUGUUUUGGUGGGGGAUGGGCUCGCGGCCUAUCAGCUUGUUGGGGGGGUGAUGGCGUGCAAAGGCUUGGACGGGUAGCCGGCUUGGGGGGGUGGGCGGCCCCCCGGGGACUGGGUUCCGGCCAGGCCUCUGGGGGGGGGCGGCGUGGGGGGGUAUUGCACAAUGGGCGGAAGCCUGAUGCAGCGACGUCGCGUGAGGGAUGGAGGCCUUCGGGUUGUGAACCUCUUUCGCCGGUGAAGAAGGUCCUGCUCUUUGUGGUGGGGUUGACGGUAGCCGGGUUAUGAAGCGCCGGCUAACUACGUG
rnacentral:rRNA from 1 species